UACAGAGGUCCCGAGCGUUGUUCGGAUUCACUGGGCGUAAAGGGCGCGCAGGUGGGUUGGCAAGUUUGAUGUGAAAGCCCCGGGCUUAACCCGGGAAUGGCAUUGAAUACUGCUGAUCUGGAGGAUCGGAGGGGGGACUGGAAUUCUUGGUGUAGCAGUGAAAUGCGUAGAUAUCAAGAGGAACACCAGUGGCGAAGGCGGCCUUCUGGACAGUGACUGACGCUGAGACGCGAAAGCGUGGGGAGCAAACAGG
rnacentral:rRNA from 1 species